rnacentral:rRNA from 1 species
UUUCUACGUACCCCGAGGUCGGGGAUAGCCCGGGGAAACCCGAGAUUAAUACCCGAUGUGGUCCUUCGGGAUCAAAGGCUUGCCGCCUCGGGAGCGGGGAACGUCCUAUCAGGUUGUUGGUGAGGUAACGGCUCACCAAGCCUAAGACGGGUAGCGGGUGUGAGAGCAUGGCCCGCCGCAUCGGAACUGAGACACUGUCCGGACUCCUACGGGAGGCUGCAGUAACGAAUCUUCCGCAAUGCGCGAAAGCGUGACGGAGCAAUGCCGCGUGCAGGAUGAAGCUCCUCGGAGUGUAAACUGCUGUCAGAGUUCAGCAACACAAUGAGCAGACUCAAAGGAAGGACCGGCUAAGUUCGUGCCAGCAGCCGCGGUAAUACGAACGGUCCGAGCGUUGCGCGGAAUCACUGGGCUUAAAGCGUACGUAGGCGGACGCGCAGGCGUUUUGUGAAAGCCCUCGGCUCAACCGAGGAAUUGCUUGACGAACCGCGCGUCUUGAGGCAGGUAGGGGCUGUCGGAACGAUAGGUGGAGUGGUGAAAUGCGUUGAUAUCUAUCGGAACGCCGAAGGAGAAAUCAGGCAGCUGGGCCUGUCCUGACGCUGAGGUACGAAAGCGUGGGUAGCGAACGGGAUUAGAUACCCCGGUAGUCCACGCCGUAAACGAUGUGCACUAGAUCGAGGGGGUUCUGACACCGCUCUUGGUCGAAGCGAAAGUGUUAAGUGCACCGCCUGGGGAGUACGGUCGCAAGGCUAAAACUCAAAGGAAUUGACGGGGGCUCACACAAGCGGUGGAGCAUGUGGCUUAAUUCGAAGCAACGCGAAGAACCUUAUCCUGGGUUUGACAUGCACGGAUUAGCCCGGUGAAAGUCAGGGUGACGCUCUUUGAGUGGAACGUGCACAGGUGCUGCAUGGCUGUCGUCAGCUCGUGCUGUGAAGUGUCGGGUUAAGUCCCUUAACGAGCGCAACCCCUGUCGCUAGUUGCCAGCGCGUCAUGGCGGGGACUCUAGCGAGACUGCCGGUGUCAAACCGGAGGAAGGUGGGGAUGACGUCAAGUCCGCAUGGCCUUUAUGCCCAGGGCUGCACACGUGCUACAAUGGUCGGUACAGAACGACGCAAUACCGCAAGGUGGAGCAAAUCGCAAAAGCCGGCCCCAGUUCG